rnacentral:rRNA from 1 species
UCCUACGGGAGGCAGCAGUAGGGAAUCUUCCACAAUGGGCGAAAGCCUGAUGGAGCCACGCCGCGUGGGUGAAGAAGGUCUUCAGAUCGUAAAACCCGGUUGUUAGAGAAGAAAGUGCGUGAGAGCAACUGUUCACGUUUCGACGGUAUCUAACCAGAAAGCCACGGCUAACUACGUGCCAGCAGCCGCGGUAAUACGUAGGUGGCAAGCGUUAUCCGGAUUUAUUGGGCGUAAAGGGAACGCAGGCGGUCUUUUAAGUCUGAUGUGAAAGCCUUCGGCUUAACCGUGGUAGUGCAUUGG